rnacentral:lncRNA from 1 species
UAACUCCUGUUGAUCUGCUGCAGAGACCCUCUCAUUCCACAAUUGCUCCCGCCAUGCCAAGGAGACAAGCUCAACAUACAAAGAACAAGGAGAGAACAAUGGAAGAUGGCCUAUAAUUCAGAAGCACAUUGGGUGGAGCAUAUUGCACAUGUAGAAGCUUGUCACGGAACCCAAGAAAGCUGGAGGAACCUGGGAAGGCUUCCUGGAAGAAGGGAAA